AUUGAACGCUGGCGGCAGGCUUAACACAUGCAAGUCGAGCGAGCGGCGGACGGGUGAGUAAUGUCUGGGAAACUGCCUGAUGGAGGGGGAUAACUACUGGAAACGGUAGCUCAUACCGCAUACCAUCAGAUGUGCCCAGAUGGGAUUGGCUAGUAGGUGGGGUAAUGGCUCACCUAGGCGACGAUCCCUAGCUGGUCUGAGAGUAUGAACAGCCACACGGGAACUGAGACACGGCCAAGAGUCUUAGGGGAGGCAGCAGUGGGGAAUAUUGCACAAGGGGCGCAAGCCGGAUGCAGCCAUGCCGCGUGUGGGAAGAAGGCCUUCGGGUUGUAAAGUACUUUCAGCGAGGAGGCGUUACUAGCAGAAGAAGCACCGGCUAACUCCGUGCCAGCAGCCGCGGUAAUAC
rnacentral:rRNA from 1 species